rfam:Trichobilharzia regenti genome assembly, scaffold: TRE_scaffold0051234
GUACUGAAGAAGAGUCCCAAACACUAGGACGAAACAGCUGUCUGUCCAGUAC